rnacentral:rRNA from 1 species
AAAUUGAAGAGUUUGAUCAUGGCUCAGAUUGAACGCUGGCGGCAGGCCUAACACAUGCAAGUCGAACGGUAACAGGAAGCAGCUUGCUGCUUUGCUGACGAGUGGCGGACGGGUGAGUAAUGUCUGGGAAACUGCCUGAUGGAGGGGGAUAACUACUGGAAACGGUAGCUAAUACCGCAUAACGUCGCAAGACCAAAGAGGGGGACCUUCGGGCCUCUUGCCAUCGGAUGUGCCCAGAUGGGAUUAGCUAGUAGGUGGGGUAACGGCUCACCUAGGCGACGAUCCCUAGCUGGUCUGAGAGGAUGACCAGCCACACUGGAACUGAGACACGGUCCAGACUCCUACGGGAGGCAGCAGUGGGGAAUAUUGCACAAUGGGCGCAAGCCUGAUGCAGCCAUGCCGCGUGUAUGAAGAAGGCCUUCGGGUUGUAAAGUACUUUCAGCGGGGAGGAAGGGAGUAAAGUUAAUACCUUUACUCAUUGACGUUACCCGCAGAAGAAGCACCGGCUAACUCCGUGCCAGCAGCCGCGGUAAUAC